AGUGAACGCUGGCGGUAGGCCUAACACAUGCAAGUCGAACGGCAGCACAGUAAGAGCUUGCUCUUACGGGUGGCGAGUGGCGGACGGGUGAGGAAUACAUCGGAAUCUACUUUUUCGUGGGGGAUAACGUAGGGAAACUUACGCUAAUACCGCAUACGACCUACGGGUGAAAGCAGGGGAUCUUCGGACCUUGCGCGAUUGAAUGAGCCGAUGUCGGAUUAGCUAGUUGGCGGGGUAAAGGCCCACCAAGGCGACGAUCCGUAGCUGGUCUGAGAGGAUGAUCAGCCCAACUGGAACUGAGACACGGUCCAGACCCCUACGGGAGGCAGCAGUGGGGAAUUUUGGAAAAUGGGCGCAAGCCUGAUCCAGCCAUACCGCGUGGGUGAAGAAGGCCUUCGGGUUGUAAAGCCCUUUUUUUGGGAAAAAAAAGCAGCAGGUUAAAACCCCCCUGUUCUGACGGUACCCAAAAAAAAAGCACCGGCUAACUUCGU
rnacentral:rRNA from 1 species